GCGCGAUCUCCGUGUAGACGCUAACAGCAGCCGCUGCACAAGCAACAGGCAACAAGGCGUUUGCAUCCAUGGUAUUGAAACGCAUCUCCCAGCUGGAAACUACCUGGGCACUAUGCUGAACCUCUGGGGCCAACUCCACUGGAAGUUCAGAGAGUGGUAACAGGGGAGGCCGUCCUCUGUGUAGCUCCCAUCUUUGAAUCAACCUCCCUAUUGGAGCCUGAUGCUAAAUGUGCUAUCUUUUCAGUGCUGGGUCAAGACAGGAUUUUAUCCAGAAGUCUGCAAAGUUGGGCACAUGAACAGGCAGAGUAAUGAAUUAGGCCCACCCUGAUGUAUACUCACAUUCAGUUAGUGUUAUGAGACUGAAUCAAGAAGAAUAUUACCAUCUAUAUGUGCUUGAG